ACUCCUACGGGAGGCAGCAGUGGGGAAUAUUGGACAAUGGGCGAAAGCCUGAUCCAGCCAUGCCGCGUGUGUGAAGAAGGUCUUCGGAUUGUAAAGCACUUUAAGUUGGGAGGAAGGGCAUUAACCUAAUACGUUAGUGCUUUGACGUUACCGACAGAAUAAGCACCGGCUAACUCUGUGCCAGCAGCCGCGGUAAU
rnacentral:rRNA from 1 species